rnacentral:lncRNA from 1 species
AUAGUUAGUUAAACCACUAAAAAUAUAACUAAUAUGAUGAGUCAUAGUUUAAAUAUAAAUUAUGUGUUCAUGCCAUAAUUAUUGUUCUUACUUACAUAUUUCAUAUUAUUAUUGAUUAUAAAAAAUUUUCAUAUUUAUGAUUUAUGUAGUGCAUGUUUUGAUAUUGUUUAUUAUGUUUAGAGUUAUAAUUAAAUUAGUUGCGAUACUUAUUAUAUGCUAUGAUUUUUAUCCAAAGAUGUUUUAUAGUUAUAGAAUAAGUAUUAUUAGUAGAAUUAUGUUUUGAAAUCUGUAUCAU